rnacentral:rRNA from 1 species
UAAGGAAUAUUGGUCAAUGGACGCAAGUCCGAACCAGCCAUGCCGCGUGAAGGAUGAAGGUCCUCUGGAUUGUAAACUUCUUUUAUCUGGGACGAAAACGGGAUUUUUAUCUCAAUUGACGGUACCAGAGGAAUAAGCACCGGCUAACUCCGUGCCAGCAGCCGCGGUAAUACGGAGGGUGCGAGCGUUAUCCGGAUUUACUGGGUUUAAAGGGUGCGUAGGUGGGCUUAUAAGUCAGUGGUGAAAUCCCCGAGCUUAACUUGGGAACUGCCAUUGAUACUAUAUAUCUUGAAUACCGUAGAGGUAAGCGGAAUAUGUCAUGUAGCGGUGAAAUGCUUAGAUAUGACAUGGAACACCAAUUGCGAAGGCAGCUUACUAUGCGGUGAUUGACACUGAGGCACGAAAGCGUGGGUAGCAAACA